rnacentral:rRNA from 1 species
AGUGAACGCUGGCGGUAGACCUAACACAUGCAAGUCGAACGGCAGCACAGUAAGAGCUUGCUCUUACGGGUGGCGAGUGGCGGACGGGUGAGGAAUACAUCGGAAUCUACUUUUUCGUGGGGGAUAACGUAGGGAAACUUACGCUAAUACCGCAUACGACCUACGGGUGAAAGCAGGGGAUCUUCGGACCUUGCGCGAUUGAAUGAGCCGAUGUCGGAUUAGCUAGUUGGCGGGGUAAAGGCCCACCAAGGCGACGAUCCGUAGCUGGUCUGAGAGGAUGAUCAGCCACACUGGAACUGAGACACGGUCCAGGCUCCUACGGGAGGCAGCAGUGGGGAAUAUUGGACAAUGGGCGCAAGCCUGAUCCAGCCAUACCGCGUGGGUGAAGAAGGCCUUCGGGUUGUAAAGCCCUUUUGUUGGGAAAGAAAAGCAGCAGGUUAAUACCCCGCUGUUCUGACGGUACCCAAAGAAUAAGCACCGGCUAACUUCGU